GAUGCCUUGGCAGUCAGAGGCGAUGAAAGACGUGACAGCCUGCGAAAAGCGUCGGGGAGGCGGCAAUAUCCUGUGAUCCGGCGAUAUCUGAAUGGGGAAACCCACUUGUCAUAAGACAGGUAUCGUAAAUUUAUUUACGAGGCAAACCGGGAGAAGUGAAACAUCUCAGUAACCCGAGGAAAAGACAUCAAUAGAGAUUCCCCUAGUAGCGGCGAGCGAACGGGGAGGAGCCGACUGAUUAUAAUUUAGAGGAAUGACUUGGAAAGGUCAAUCGUAGAGGGUGAUAAUCCCGUACUCGAAAGGUUAUAAGAAGCAUAUUAAGUAGGGCGGAACACGAGAAAUUCUGUCUGAAGAUGGGGGGACCAUCCUCCAAGGCUAAAUACUCCUGACUGACCGAUAGUGAACCAGUACCGUGAGGGAAAGGCGAAAAGAACCCCUGUGAGGGGAGUGAAAUAGAUCCUGAAACCGUGUACGUACAAGCAGUAGGAGCAGACUUGUUCUGUGACUGCGUACCUUUUGUAUAAUGGGUCAGCGACUUAUAUUUUGUAGCGAGGUUAACCGAUUAGGGUAGCCGUAGGGAAACCGAGUCUUAACUGGGCGAAUAGUUGCAAGGUAUAGACCCGAAACCCGGUGAUCUAGCCAUGAGCAGGUUGAAGGUUGAGUAACAUCAACUGGAGGACCGAACCCACUAACUUUGAAAAGUUAGGGGAUGACCUGUGGUUAGGAGUGAAAGGCUAAUCAAACCGGGAGAUAGCUGGUUCUCCCCGAAAUCUAUUUAGGUAGAGCCUCGGACGAAUACUUACGGGGGUAGAGCACUGUUAAGGCUAGGGGGUCAUCCCGACUUACCAACCCUUUGCAAACUCCGAAUACCAGUAAGUACUAUCCGGGAGACACACGGCGGGUGCUAACGUCCGUCGUGGAGAGGGAAACAACCCAGACCGCCAGCUAAGGUCCCAAAGUACUAGUUAAGUGGGAAACGAUGUGGGAAGGCACAGACAGCUAGGAGGUUGGCUUAGAAGCAGCCAUCCUUUAAAGAAAGCGUAAUAGCUCACUAGUCGAGUCGGCCUGCGCGGAAGAUGUAACGGGGCUAAACUAUGCACCGAAGCUGCGGAUUUAAUCUUAGGAUUAAGUGGUAGGGGAGCGUUCUGUAAGCGGUUGAAGGUGUACCGGGAGGUAUGCUGGACGUAUCAGAAGUGCGAAUGCUGACAUGAGUAACGAUAAGGGGAGUGAAAAACUCCCCCGCCGAAAGACCAAGGUUUCCUGUCCCAUGUUAAUCAGGGCAGGGUAAGUCGGCCCCUAAGGCGAGGCGGAAACGCGUAGUCGAUGGGAAACAGAUUAAUAUUUCUGUACUUCUAUAUAUUGCGAAGGAGGGACGGAGAAGGCUAAGCAAGCAUGGCGAUGGUUGUCCAUGUGAAAGUGAGUAGGGCGUUUGUUUAGGUAAAUCCGGACGAACAUUAAACCUGAGACACGAGACGAGUCACCAAGGUGAUGAAGUUGUUGAUGCCAUACUUCCAGGAAAAGCCUCUAAGCUUCAGAUUAUACCGAAUCGUACCCCAAACCGACACAGGUGGUCAGGUAGAGAAUACCAAGGCGCUUGAGAGAACUCUGCUGAAGGAACUAGGCAAAAUGGUACCGUAACUUCGGGAGAAGGUACGCCGAUUUUGGUGAUGGGAUUUACUCCCUAAGCUGAGAUUGGUCGAAGAUACCAGGUGGCUGCGACUGUUUAUUAAAAACACAGCACUGUGCAAAAUCGAAAGAUGACGUAUACGGUGUGACGCCUGCCCGGUGCCGGAAGGUUAAUUGAUGGGGUUAGUUUUCGGACGAAGCUCUUGAUCGAAGCCCCGGUAAACGGCGGCCGUAACUAUAACGGUCCUAAGGUAGCGAAAUUCCUUGUCGGGUAAGUUCCGACCUGCACGAAUGGUGCAACGAUCUGGACACUGUCUCAGCCAUGAGCUCGGUGAAAUUGUAGUAUCGGUGAAGAUGCCGAUUACCCGCAGCGGGACGAAAAGACCCCGUGAACCUUUACUAUAGCUUAGUAUUGACUUUGGAUAAGUAAUGUGUAGGAUAGGUG
rnacentral:rRNA from 1 species